GGAGAGAUGGCUGAGUGGUUUAAAGCAACGGUUUGCUAAAUCGUAACAUUAUCUAUAAUAAAAAUUAAAUGUCAUGGGUUCGAAUCCCAUUCUUUCUA
rnacentral:tRNA from 1 species